rnacentral:misc_RNA from 1 species
GAUGAAGAACGUAGUGAAAUGCGAUAAGUAAUGUGAAUUGCAGAAUUCAGUGAAUCAUCGAAUCUUUGAACGCACAUUGCGCCCGCCAGCAUUCUGGCGGGCAUGCCUGUUCGAGCGUCAUUUCAACCCUCGAGCCCCCCCGGGGGCCUCGGUGUUGGGGGACGGCACACCAGCCGCCCCCGAAAUGCAGUGGCGACCCCGCCGCAGCCUCCCCUGCGUAGUAGCACACACCUCGCACCGGAGCGCGGAGGCGGUCACGCCGUAAAACGCCCAACUUUCUUAGAGUUGACCUCGGAUCAGGUAGGAAUACCCGCUGAACUUAAGCAUAUCAAUAGCGGAGGA